rnacentral:lncRNA from 10 species
UUUUUAGUUGUUUCAACUGGGUUAUCUAGUGGGUAGGGCCAGAGAUGCUGCAAACCUCCUGCAAUGUACAGGACAUCUCUCCCAGGCUGAUGAAGAAUUAUUUGACCUAAAAUGUCAGUAGAGCUGAAUUUGAGAAAUGGUGCUCUAGGAGAAGCAGGCUGGCAGUAAAGCCAGGGGAUCAUAAUUUCCAACUCAGCUGCGGUGCAGAAUGCUAGUCUAACUGGGUUAUGACCCAGACCCUUUCUGCAAUGGGAAAUGUCUCUGAAAGCAGGCCAGUGACGCCUUGGUUCCAUCCUCUGGGCUGGGCUUCCUUCCUGCAGUUCCAUCCCUCUCCCACUACCUCACUCCCACCCACUCCAUCCCUCUCCAAACAUUCGCUGAGCACCUGCUUCAUCCAGAAGGAUAAGACCCAGCCCCCAGCCAGGAGCAGACAGCGCACAGCCCAGGGAGGGAGAAUGGCACAGAAUCAGAUGUAAAGAGAUAAACAAAGAAACUUAGCAGCCAGCAUGGGGGCUCCCCUAAGGGAGAGAGGGUCUUCAUUUGGGAAAGUGCCUUGGUAGGGCUCAAGCUUCAGUACUGAGAUCACAGUGUUGAGCCCCCACAUCCCAAAGUGGAGGUUCUGCCAGGGCUCUCGUGCUGGACUUCACAUCCUAGUCAUCUCAUGAGAUGGGCCCCGCCUCUCACCAAUUAAAUGAGAAUUUCAGGGACAUCUGCCGUUUGAAAGCUCCCCAGGGGAUUGGAAUGAGCAGUCAGUUGAGAAGCACAUGGCUUUGCCUGGCCAGUCUCUGAGACAGAUGCCAGGUGUGCACCACAUCCCACAGGUAAGUGUCAUUUAGUACGUUCAGGAGUCUGGUCUGCUUAAUGUCUGCUUAAGGUGGCUCUGAUAUCUUGCAGGUGCAGGAUUUCAGACGAGUAGCCACCUGGAUGAGAUACUGAUUUUCCUGCUGAGUAGGAGUUGAAACAGAAUGGAGGGUGGAGAGAAAGGAACCAGAAACAUGGAAGAAAACUGGAACCAGCUCACACAGAGCAUCUGAGGAGGAGAGGGAAGAAAAGCCUGCAGGAGCCCCUUUUGCCCUUGACUGCCCUGUCCUGGAAGUGACCCCUCACUUCUGCUCAGAUUCCAUCAGUGAGAACGAGGCACAGGGACCCACCGAGACACCAAUGGGCUGUGGGCUGAGGAAGAGAUUGAGAAACUGAGGUCGUGGGAGAUGAAGUCAUUUUCCUAAGGUCCCAUAGCUGGUGGGGAAAAUGAGGCCCACAAGAAGGACAUCCCUUAUCAGUGGUGGGACCAGGACACAUAAGCCCAGGGCUGUCUGACUCCAAGAUCACUUCUCUUUCUCCUCCUGGAUUCUGAGACUGAUGGAAAGAGGGGCUCUCCAGGCUCUACCUUGAAGAGGAAGUUUCUGAUGUCAAACCUGGUGCUGAGAGUUUGUGACCUUUGCUCAGCACACUGGUGGUGGGGAUCAGAGCCAGAUUAGAUUCUCCAGCCACUCUGGUCUCUUUCCAGCCUUGGUCUGUGCCUCUGCAAAGUAUUCCAUGUCUACAAAGUGUUUUUGUAUCCCUUUUCUCAAUGCUCCUCAGCAAGCAGGACUGGAAAAUAAGUCAAGUGUCCAGGCCCAGGCAUGGGACAGAUUCACUGCUGAGCUUAGGCUACCUGACACUGAAGGCCAGGGCUAGGGGGAACCCCAGGUGCUUCCUGGACUGGAGGAUCCUUGUCACCAACAUAGCUGGCAUCCUGGGACCACUGCUGGAGAAAAAGGAGACGGAAAGGAAGCACGUACUGAAAACCUACAAUAGCUUCAUAUUGUGUUAGAUAUUUUUACUUACUCCUUAAUUUAACUCUGCCACAAAGCUAACAUUAUCAUCAACUUCGCCAUAGUGCAGAGGAGAGAGCUGGCUGACCCAAGGAUACACAGCUAGCAGGUGAGUGAAGCAGAGCUUGAUUCCGGUAUGACAGCUCCAGAGCCCACCUGCUUAACAGUGAUGCGUGCCCACCUGCCCUGGAAAUGGGGCAUGCACAGUGCAUUAUUAAUGAUAAAGCUCAUAUUUCUGAAUGGGUGCUGUAUGCCAUGCACACGGCCCUUUUAUGUAAUCCCUAGGACAGUCAUAGGCAAAAGGUGUUAUCGUGCCCAUUUUAUAGAUAAAACAUUCAAAACCAGGAGGUGCGCAGCAAAGUAUUCCAUGUCUACAAAGUGCUUUCAUGUCCCUUUUCUCAAUGCUGCAAAGCAGGCAGGACUAAAAAGCGAAUCAAGUACCCAGGCCAACUCAUGGGGCAGAUUCACUAUUGAGCUCAGGCCAUCUGACACUG